rnacentral:tRNA from 1 species
CACUGUAUAGCUACUCUAGCAUUAACCUUUUAAGUUAAAGACNGGGGAUACACCCCCUGCAGUGA